rnacentral:rRNA from 1 species
UACGGAGGUGGCAAGCGUUGCUCGGAAUCAUUGGGCGUAAAGGGUGUGUAGGUGGCGCCGUAAGUCGGGUGUGAAAUUUCGGAGCUUAACUCCGAAACUGCAUUCGAUACUGCGGUGCUUGAGGACUGGAGAGGAGACUGGAAUUCAUGGUGUAGCAGUGAAAUGCGUAGAGAUCAUGAGGAAGACCAGUGGCGAAGGCGGGUCUCUGGACAGUUCCUGACACUGAGACACGAAGGCCAGGGGAGCAAACGGG